GUGGGUAUAGCUCAGUCAUAGAGUACAUACUUGGCAUGCAUGAGGUCCUGGGUUCAAUCCCCAGGACCUUCA
rnacentral:tRNA from 1 species